rnacentral:lncRNA from 1 species
CACAAGUGAAACUCCACUUUAUUGAACGAUGGGGUCUCAAAUGGGCUGCCUCUUUGCCACUCUUUUGGUAGUAUCAGUCUCUCUUAGCUACUUGCCGUUAGAAGCCUCCGCAAACAAAUACUACUACACAUCUCCUCCCCCUCCCAAGUACAAGUCUCCACCACCACCCCCGCCACCGGUUCACAAUUCUCCACCACCACCCCCGGUUUACCUGCCCCCGCCACCUCCUCCACCAGUCUACGUGCCUGCUCCGGCACCAACUCCAAUUUUCCCUUCUCCGCCACCUCCUGUCCCCAAGUCCCCACCACCACCUCACCCUUACGUCUAUGCAUCUCCCCCUCCUCCUUACUACUACUAGAAAGCGGCCAUGAAUAGCUCAUGCUUUUAUGGUAAUCUCAUUUAUUUUUAAAACUGUACAUGUAAAGACUAGUAGUUCAGAAUUACAUUAAGCAUUUCAAUUUUAAGCACCGUGUUCUGUUUAAUUGCGUUCCUAUUGAUUAAGUGACAAAUAAAAGAGAUUGAUUAAUUUGUUCUUGUAGGAGAGGCGAAUGGUAUCCGAAUAAAGAAAGCAAGGGUUUGAUGGAAGGCUUACUUGGAGCAAGAUAGCGAUCAAUCGAGUUGCUGCGUUUUAUUCUCUUUUAUCUUUGUUUUUUAAGAAAAAUAAACUGCCACACGUAGAAACAGAAAAUUAAGUUCUUGUCAUUUUCAUGCAUAUGGAUUGUUGCUGUGUGUGUCAAUCAAAUCUCCGUUGUGUCAUUUGUAAUUUUCAACCUUUAUGCAUGCAAAUGCGAGACCUCUUACGUAUAAUAAAAUUAAUAUACUUCCCAAGAUGGUCUUAUCUUGCGUUGACUUUUUACGUUCCUUUGGUGAUGAUUUUGACGUUUGAAAUUGAUGACUAAUUGACUAUUGUUUUUGUAAACUCUGACAUGGAUUUUUCGUGCAACUACAGAGCGCAUUAACGAGAGACUUAUCCAUGAGGGUCCAUGCAGAUCAGUGUCUAAUUAACCAAUAAUUAAUAUAACUAAAAAAAUAUAGAGUUAACUAUUUUUAUGGGUCAGGCUCAAUUGCAGAUGUUCGUACAAAAUUUCUUGCUAAUGUAUACUUGAGUAUGAUAAUAAGUUUUAAUCAUUAUUAAUAAUUCACUUGAUAAUAUUAAACAAAUUUUCAUAUCAAUUAAGUUACAAAAUUUCUGUGACAAAUUUCCGCGUACUGGAACCAUGCAAAAGGGCUUUAUUCAAACAAAACUGCAUAGCCGUUGGCAAUUAAAAUUAUUUAUCAAUUAAGUUAAGUAGUAAGAAUUGGAUUGUGGAUUCCAUUAAUUAUUUCAAGGAAAAUUUUAUAGAUAAUGCCGUAAUGAAAUUUACGGCAUCAAUACCAUGAUAAAUAUAAAUAUUGUAAAUUACAAAUAGAAUUAGUAAAUGUAAAGUAAAACCAGUAAAUUCAUAAAAGAUUAUUAAUUAUUUAAAAAAUUAACAUUGUUUCUACAUAAUUUUAGUGAAAAAUAUUUUAUUCAUUUACAAAAACAUUUCUUUAAUUAAACAAAAAAAUUCAUUAAUUAAGCAAAAAAAAUUAUACUGAAAAAAAAGUGGAAUAAGUUUAAUUGAAUUGGUUAUCAUAAAUUCUAUAUUUAGUCUAGGACAUUUUUUAUACAUUUUCUUCCCAUUUUCGAUAAUGAUAUCUAUUUGUUACACAUGUUAAUUAAGUGCAAUUAUUUAUCUUGAUGUGGAUCAAGUAAAAAAAUAUCAUAAAUAAGAUAUCAAUAAAAUUAGAUCUAAUUUUGAAUAUUAUGUAUACUUUAUGUAGUUUCAAACUUUUUACUUGUAUUUGGAGACCAUUUAAGGUUGUUGUUGAAGAAGUGUAGAAAGAUGUAAAAUAACUUCAUCUUACAACAACUAUGAAAGAUAUUAAAAUAAUAAUUUUUUUCAAAAUCCGAUUUUGAGAAAAAAAUUCAUCCUUAAUUAAACAUCACAUGUAUUAUAGAAAUGCAAAACUACCAUUGUUAUAUUUAACUUAAAAAAUAAUAAAUAUAUAAGGUAAUAAACAUUAUAAAGAGUUUUUAUUUUAAAAUUGUAAACUUUUGUUCUGACAAUAACUCUUAUAUUAAUUUAUUUAUUUUGCCUUUUAUUCAUAAGUUUUAUGCAUAAUUUACAAACUUUAAGUUUUAUUUUGCAUUUUAUGUUGAUUUGGUUUUUUUAUAUUAUACGUACAAGUUUUCUUUUUAUUUACCAGUAAUACAUCAAUUUAUCAGCUUGAUAGUAAUUUACUUAUUUUACCUUCCUUUUACAAUUCUUAUGUUUCAUUUCCAAAAUUUAUGUUUUAUUUUACAGUUGUUGAUGAUUUACUAGUUUUAUGUUAUGUUUGCAAGUUUUUGUUUUGUUUACUAGUAAUAGAUUAAUGGGUAAUUUUUAAUUGAGUCCUCAUUAGUUCUAGAAAAACAAUUCAGAGACCAGAAGUUUACUAAAUGAAUCAAUUAAAUUCUUUCAAGUACAAACUAAUGUCAUUCAAGUCCUUAACUUAAUUGGUCAGUUAAAAAUAUUAACAACGUUGAGGACAUUUUAGUAAAACAACAAUUGAGUCGUUUCUCAUUCUUUAUUUUUGACAGGUGGAAAUAGUUUAAAGUAAACUCACUUAACCUGAUUAAGUUAAGGAUCAGUUCUUUCAAAUGAAAAAAAAAAAAAAAACCUACAGAAACUGCCAUAUUCUUCGUGUGGGAGGAGAGAUCGAGAGAACGUGGGAUGGUGCAAAAAAUGUUGUAUAAAUCUACUGUGAUUUUGACCAAAGCUUUGGUAGCAUUGAUUGAGUUCAAGUACUGGAGAGAACCUGAGUUUAAAGGUUAGUAACUCUAUUUUUUUAGUGAUUUCUGCAAGCAUUUUCUGAUAAAAAAUUUUCCGUAUUGAGUGAUCGUUGUGAAAAAUUAAGUUUUUCAAGUCUAUUUUACAAAAUGACAAACUAUGUUUAAUUAUUGGUGGAUUCUUUUUUUGUUCAAUGUUGUAUUUUGUUAAUUUGUUGUUUUUAAUUUGCUCUUAAUGUAAUUGUUAGACCAAAUACACCAUUAUUAUACCUGUAUUCAUUUCAACAAUUUGGUAUCGUUAUAUUAAUAAGAUUGAAUUCAUUGUAUUUGCUUCUUUGUUCAUGUAAAAUUGAAUUCUAUGUAUUCUUAUGAGUGAUAAUUUUUCUAUCUAUUAGACUAAAUUCACUAUAUUCACUACUUUCUUUCUUUUUGCUGGGCUAUUUUUUCUUUUUAGUUUAUAUUUUUUAUAUGUAUUAGAUUGAAUUUGCUUUUGUACGUUUUUUUAGCCGAAUUACAUGUAUAUUUCAUUUAGGUUGAGUUUUUUUUGUUGUUUGCUAAAUAAAAUUAUAUUGGUUUAUCCCUUUUUAUGCAAUACUUUUUGUUUAAAAUUAAUACAGUUAGCCAUGUUACCUUUUUUUUCGGUUAAAAUUAAUGGGGUGAUGUAGGCGAUAGGAUAUAGGGAACCAGAGGAAUAUAAGAUUAUUAGGCUGUUUCUUGAAAUUCAAGAUGUCAUGGUUAAGCAUGGACACAGUGAAAUGGAUUUGAUUGAAAUUUUUGUUGUAUUGCCAUGGACUACAAGUGGCCAGAGGAAGCUAAUUUCAAACGAUAGUGAAUUGUAUUGGGUUUUCGAGGAGUUUUUUUUAAUCAAUAGUUGUCCUGUCAUUGAGUUUGAGGUGCACACUGGGUCAGGUGGUCAGUCAUUUCAUGAAAGUGUUGUAAUAGGACCUGAAAAUCCUGUCAAUAUUAAAAAUUAGUGUUGUAAUAGUGAUAAGUUUGAAAAUGUUGUGGCUAAAAAGGUCUGCCUAGAAUAAUUGGUACUUCUUUAUUUGCCUCAAAGUCCAACACUAUGAAAUCCACAAGGAAAAAGAAUUUAUCCACUUUAACCAGCACGUCUUCAAUCUUGCCUUCAGGAUAAGCAUGAGAUCUGGCAGCACAUUGCAAUGUCACUGUGGUUGGUUUGACUUCUCCAACUCCCAAUUGCUUGAAUUCUGAUAAUGUCAUAAGAUUGAUGCUUGCUCCCAAACCACAAAGUGUCUUGCCACUGUAUUUAGUUCCUAUGGAACAAUGAAUUGUGAAACUUCCUGGAUCCUUCAACUUCUGAGGCAUUUUACUCUGAAGCAUAUGGCUGCAUUCUUGUGUUAGACCAACUAUUUCAAAUUCUCCGAGCCUCAUUUUCCUUGCCAAUAUACAUUUCCAAAACUUUACAUAAUUUGGCAUUUGUUCUAAUGCUUCCACAAAAGAAAUGUUGAUAUGCAGUUCUUUCCAUACUUCCAAGAAUUUACUGAACUGCAUGUCUUGCUUUCGCUUUUGAAAUCUUUGUGGGAAGGGUGGUGGAUGUGUAAAUUGUUGUACUGCAGCAGACUAUACAUAUUGCUUUUCUCUUGCUCUAUUAUGGUAUGUUAUUAUUGGUGUUGCAGCUUCUUCCUCAACAAGCAUUGAAUCAUGUUUUUUUGCAGUUGCUAUAACUUAGCAACUCUCACCAGUGUGCUGGAAAAUGGGUUGUUGUGUCUCUUCUUUAAUUUGAGUUUCCCCUUGGGUUGAAUUAGGUUCCACUCUUCUUUUUGGUACUUUAACAAGUAUAUGAACAUCCUUUCCAAACCUUAAGUUAAUCCCCUUACAAUGCUCUUUUCCUUCUCUCUUUCGAUCCUCUGUAUUGUUUAGUAAAUUGUCCUGAGGUAUGUUGCUCAAUUUUGUAGCAAGCUGUCCAAUCUUAUUCUCCAAGUUUCUUAAAAAUACAGCUUGGCUUUAGACCACUACUCCAAUCUUUACAAUAUACUCCUUAAUCAGAGUUUCAAUGGAACUAAAUUGAUCAUUACUGGUGUUUCUUUACCCUUCAAAUUUCUGGUGAAAAUCAGGUGGCUGAGCAAGUCAGUUCUGUCCACUGGAUGCUGCAGCAUGCUGAUUCUGAUUGCUCCUUUUAAAAUUUGGGUGAUGUCUCCAUCCUAGGUUAUAGGUGUUUGAAAAUGGAUUGCUUUGAUUUUGUUUAUUAAAAUUGCCCACAUAAUUGACGGAAGCUGAAUUCCUAGGACAAUUAUGAUAUAGAUGUCCCUCUCCAUAAUAAACACAAGAGACUUCAGCAAUUUGGUUAACUGUUGCCGGAGCAGUGGCCGUUGCUUUUACCAUAUUUUGUCAAUGAGGUUACUUGGGCUGAUAAUGUUGUCAGUGCAUCCACAUUGUGUACUCCUGCUGCUCCUCUCACUGUGGCUUGUCUAGUUGAUGGCCAUUGAUAGUUAUCCUUUCUAAAAUUUCAUAAGCCUCAUUAUAUGAGUUAGACAAUAAAGCCCCUAGUUAUUGAGUUCAACCCAUUGUAGAAAGUUUCCAAUUGUAUGCAAUAAGGAAUACCAUGAUGAGGGCAUCUCCUGAGUAACCCCUUGAAUCUUUCUCAUGCAUCAUACAAGCUUUCAUCUUCAAGUUGAUGGAAAGAUGUGAUCUCAUUCUUCAACUUUGCAUUCUUUGUUGGUGGGAAAUAUUUCAUCAAAAGUUUGUCAGCCAAAUAAUUCCAUGUGGUGAUGGAGUCUGGUUGCAAAGAACUCCACUGUACCAACUAAAAUUGAUUUCACAAAACACAAUAAGCACCAAUCCCCGGCAACGGCGCAAAAAACUUGUUGUCGAUUUUCUAAUGCUAUUAGUGUCAAUGUGAAAAUGUACACAACAAGUAAUAUAACGAUAAGUAUUCACUCCACAAGGAUUAUUAUUAUAGGAAUUGCUACAGUAAUUCUAUCAGUGCCAUUCUUAUUAUAAAUUAGAAUUUAAACAAAAUUAUUCAACUAAUGAACUAAGUCAGAUCUUAUUGGGGCUAGUCGGCAAUGUGUUGCUUUAGGUCGUGUGGAAUAGUUGCGGGAGUGAUCUUGCAUGAUGUGUGGAGCUAUAACAGUGCUGAGCAUGGGCCAAUCUAUGGGCUCAUGGAACUAGCGAACCUAAUCUAGAAUUUCGAGGAAGAGUACUCUGGUUAGUACUCUAAUUACCUUAUUAUAUUUUGCACAAACAGAGGCAUGUUAGUGAAAUAAUAUCUAAGCAACCCAAGAGGGGGGUGAAUUGGGUUUCUAAAAAUUAUGCAAUUCUUAAACAAAACUUAAUGCAAAUCUUAAACGAAUUUAAAGCAAUAAUACAUAAAUCAACCAAGGUAUAAAAGAUAAGGGAAGAGAGAUUAAAACACAGAGAGUUUUACGUGGUUCGGCCAACCUUGCCUACAUCCACACCCCCAAGCACACCGAGCUUGGGCAUUCCACUAGUCAAGCCUUCAAGGCUUCAAGAACACUUACAAAUUGACUUCUUAGGUGUCAAUCAACCUUUACAUCUAGAGAUUAUCCCCAAUCUCUUAACCCAAGUGUAUCCCAAUAUUUACAAUCACUCAAAAUAAAGAUUACAAAUUUAUUUUUUCUCUCACACAAUUUUUUAAGAUUACAAAUCAACGCUUAAUGUGUGAAUAAAUGAACAAGAAUGAAUUUGAAGCUCAAUGAAUGUUGUAUUCUCGAUUAUAAGCUCAAUGAUAACGUUGUGAUAAGCUCUUGUUUUGAAUUUGAUUGAUCUUAUUUAUAGUUGGAGUUGAAAAAUAGCCAUUGUUGACUUUUUCCCGAAAUUGGAUCGCCGUUAACCGUUAUCGGUUAACCGUUUUGACUGGUCCAAGUGACCGUUGAGCUGAAUUUCAAAUAAACGGUUGAUCUUUUGACACUAUCGGUUUGCUGUUAAUUUCCAUAACCUGUAAAACAAAUUUAUGCUAUUCGUUCUUGCUAAACGGUUGAAGGUCAGCAUGGAAUGACAUUCUAGAAAUUAUUGGUUGGCCGUUUGAAGUUCACGGUUCACCGUUUACUUCUAGAAUCACAGUUUUAACCAAAUUUCGCAGGGAAUGCUUUUUCGGUUAAAGUUAACGAUUAUCCAUAUUUCAUGAACACAUUUAGAAAAAUCAUACGACUUUUGAGAAAUUGUUUAGUAAUGAAAACUCUAACAUUUUAAUCAAAUACAUUUAAAGUUUGUUAUCAUCAAAAUCAAUAUAAUGAACAUCUACAUGUUAACAGUUAGGCCUUGAUUAUUUUUUAAAUCUUAUAAGAUAUAGAGUGAUAAUAGUAACUCAUUUUCAUAAAACGUGGAAGAUCAGUCGCCAAAUUUAUAGAUGCCAUAGAAAAUCUAGAUUUUAGUAAGGAAUAUCAAGUUAUUUAUACAAUGAAAAUUGUUAAAACUCGAUUAAUUGCAAGGAAACACUUUUAGAGAGAUAUGGAGAGAAUAAACUUUGAAGAUAACAAUGAAAUACAUGAACACAUUUAAGGAAGAAAAUAUAAUAGUAUUAAUAGAAUCUAUUUUAACCGGUCUUAAGAUAAUUCAAGAUUGAUGCAAAAUAAAUAACAGGACUCUAAAACCGUCCAUAAUAAGUCUAUUGAUUAAUAAUAACAAUAAUAGUGAUGUGAAAUUUUUUAUUCAGAAUGCUCAAUUUAGAUUAUAAUAUCUAUGUGAAAGCAUUGAUGCAUGUACCUUGGUUAGGAAAUAGAUUGGACACAUGGAUAUAUAUGUUGGAAGAACAAAUCUAGUUUAUAUCUCAAGAGAGAUAAUAAAUUAUAAAUGACGGUGCUAUAGUAUAUUCAGAUUUUAUAAAUCUUUAUAAAUUUAAUAAUCAUUUAGAUCUUCAUAUAUUAUAAUAAAAACUUUAAAAAACUUUAAAAAUAUAUGUAGAAGAGAUGGAAGAAGAAAUCAUCCAAUUAUUCAAAAUCAAUUAAACAAAAAUAGAAGGUAAAAUCCUUGAAUUAUAUAAAUUAUACAAUUUCACAGAAAUUUUGCAUAUAUUGCGAAACGGUCCUUGUGCACUAAUUAUGGGACUAGUGUAGCAUAAAUACUAAUAUUGCUUUUUAUUUUUGUAAAUUAAUUGUUGCGUCAUAAUUUUUUACAUACACAUUUUAUGUUUUAAAAUAUGAUUUUUUUUUUGUAUUUAGGGUUAAUUUUACAAUUUCAUACUUUGUUCAAUUAUAUGUACAGGUCCUUCACGUGUUGGUUGAUGUUGAAUAUUCAAAGAUCCACAAGCUAUCAACGACAACGAAUCAAAUUAAACUAAUUAGUUAAUACAUAAUGACCUGGGUUGUUUCCUAUGUUGUUAAUGAUGUAGAACGUUAUUUUAGGAUUUUAGAAUUUUAAUUUUUAGGUCUUCUGAUAUUUUCUUUUUUAAUUAAAGUUAGUGUUUAGUUUUUUAUUUAUUUAUGUUAUAAUUAUAAUUUACUUUCUCUUUUUAAGUUAACUUAGGAAAUAUAUUUACUGUAUUAUAAAUAAAGAGAUCUUGUUAUUACUUUAUAACUUCAACUUCAGUUAUUCAAUUAAAAACCCUCUUUUAUAAUUUCCUUUUGUAUUAUCUAUUAAAAACCCCUCUUUUUAAAGUUGUUUGAUUAGAGCAUCAUCUAGCCUUGCUUAAAGCAGUAUAAAAAAUCCCUUUGAGUUUAAUCACACGUCGAUUAGAGCGUAACUUAAUCGCAUUGACUUGGUCCAUGACUUGAACGAUAUCUAGUGUUUUGCUUCCGCUAUGCCCAAGGAGAAAAUUAAUUUUCACCGUGAGAUAAGAGCAUUAAAGGAAUUCAUAAGAAAUUUAAUUAAAGCUAUAUAUGUUAAAUAUAUCGCUAGCUACUUGUUUUUGGAGGAAUUAAAACAAUUAAUAAGCUGCGAAGUGAAAAUGAAUAAAUAAAUGAAAUGAGGUUGAAAAUAAGUCUCGCCGCCUGGAUCCAAGGCCAAAACAUUCAUGAUAAGUUAGGUAAUUAAGUACAUGUUUCAAGCUCUUCAUGAAGAAUAACGUUAUUGAAAUAAAUCACAAAGACUCCCUGCGCAAAUUAUUACAUUGAUUAAAAAAAAAAGCCAUAUCUUUAACAGGAUCGUGACUCUCGGACUGUUAAUUACUUUAUUCCUGCUUGGCCAACAGCUGGCCACUAAACAAAAUCAUAAAAAUUUUUAAAUUUAGUCAAAUUGGUCCACUUGAUGACAUCCUUUUCAUACAUAAAAUUGUUAACGUCAAGGUUAAAUAUAGAAGUUUGGUAGAGAAGGUAAAAAGAAGUCUAUAUAAGGAGGGGAACGAGCUUUGUUAUAGCACAAGUGAAACUCCACUUUAUUGAACGAUGGGGUCUCAAAUGGGCUGCCUCUUUGCCACUCUUUGGUAGUAUCAGUCUCUCUUAGCUACUUGCCGUUAGAAGCCUCCGCAAACAAAUACUACUACACAUCUCCUCCCCCUCCAAGUACAAGUCUCCACCACCACCCCCGCCACCGGUUCACAAUUCUCACCACCACCCCCGUUUUACCUGCCCCCCGCCACCUCCUCCACCAGUCUACGUGCCUGCUCCGGCACCAACUCCAAUUUUCCCUUCUCCCACCUCCUGUCCCCAAGUCCCCACCACCACCUCACCCUUACGUCUAUGCAUCUCCCCUCCUCCUUACUACUACUAGAAAGCGGCCAUGAAUAGCUCAUGCUUUUAUGGUAAUCUCAUUUAUUUUUAAAACUGUACAUGUAAAGACUAGUAGUUCAGAAUUACAUUAAGCAUUUCAAUUUUAAGCACCGUGUUCUGUUUAAUUGCGUUCCUAUUGAUUAAGUGACAAAUAAAAAGAGAUUGAUUAAUUUGUUCUUGUAGGAGAGGCGAAUGGUUAUCCGAAUAAAGAAGCAAGGGUUUGAUGGAAGGCUUACUUGGAGCAAGAUAGCGAUCAAUCGAGUUGCUGCGUUUUAUUCUCUUUAUCUUUGUUUUUUAAGAAAAAAUAAACUGCCACACGUAGAAACAGAAAAUUAAGUUCUUGUCAUUUUCAUGCAUAUGGAUUGUUGCUGUGUGUGUCAAUCAAAUCUCCGUUGUGUCAUUUGUAAUUUUCAACCUUUAUGCAUGCAAAUGCGAGACCUCUUACGUAUAAUAAAAUUAAUAUACUUCCCAAGAUGGUCUUAUCUUGCG